UUGGCACAGGGGUGGCAUUACUCCAUACCCUCCAGGAUUUCUCAGAGGAAAAUAGGCAUGUCUAAAGGAAAAUCACAGCAUUCUUUGAUCAAAUCAGAAACCAGGACGGCCUCUUUAAAUCCAGGAGGAGGAACUUUGGCGCAGGGUAUAAAAGGCUCCAGCCCUGGAAGGAGCUCUAGCUCAACUCAGAAGGUUUUCUCCAGCAGCCGAGAGGAGCUCCCAGCCCUCAAGCCAGCCAUCAUGGCAAGCAUUACGGCUGCAGAGAAGCAGCUCAUCCUGGCUUUCUGGUGCAAAGUGGAUGUGGAAGCCUUGGGUGGGGAUACCCUUACCUGCAUGUUUAUCGUCUUUCCCUGGAUCCGGCGUUUGUUCUCUAACUUGGAUGACCCUCUCCAGCCCUCCCUCUCAUUAGGAACCUCUCCAGCCCUCUCUGCACGAGGUCAAGGAGGAUUUUUCCGAGCUGCGUGAACUGCUGUGCAACAAGCUCCACGUGGACCCCAUCAACUUCAGGCUCCUGUCAAAGUCCUCAUCACCCCCCACCCCCUUUGGACAGGAAUUCACCUCUGCUUACCACCACGCCUUCCACAAGCUGGUCAGGGUGGUGGCUCAUGCGCUGGCCUGCCGGUCCCACUGAGACACCCCCAGGGAGAAGAGGCCGCCUCCUUCUGCUCUCGCCACCCACCAGGUUUGGUGGGGGCCACCCCUUCCAGCCCCCAUGUGACGCUUGACCCUCUAAUAAACCCUCCCUCUGCAACCUGA